UUUCUUCAAUUUGAUGUGUCUUCCUCAUGGGGUCCUCUUCUUUGCUACAAUGUGUGGUGGCCCUUUUUAUAAGGGAUCUGGGUGCAGCUUUCUUGUGGCUCCACUUGUCGUCCGACCAUCUUGGUAUUGCGACUGUCUCACUGGACGGUUUCUUAUGGACGUUAGUACUUGGGGGAAGUUCCUUCAACUUUCGGAUCGACAUCUAGGAGGUGUGUGUGAGUGUCACUCGUUUGGUCGAGUUUUGGUCUUGAUCCGUAGGCUUGCAGGGUGAAUGCUUUCUCUAGCGCCUUGAUGUCUCGCCCUCCAUUCCAUGUGACGGAAGCAUCAUCCACAUGCCUCAGGUGCGGUCGUGCUUCUUGUAUUAACGUACUUAUACAGCAUCUGAAGGUGAGCGGAAUUUUAUGUGUAAACACACCUU
rnacentral:lncRNA from 1 species